rnacentral:rRNA from 1 species
GACGAACGCUGGCGGCGUGCUUAACACAUGCAAGUCGAACGAGUGGCGAACGGGUGAGUAAAACGUGGGUGAUCUGCCUUGCACUUCGGGAUAAGCUUGGGAAACUGGGUCUAAUACCGGAUAGUGCAAGAUGAGCUCGCGGCCUAUCUGCUUGUUGGUGGGGUAAUGCCUACCAAGGCGCGACGGGUUGCCGGCCUGGGAGGGUGUACGGCGACAUUGGGACUGAGAUACGGCCCAGACGCCAACGGUAGGCAGCAGGGGUGAGUAUUGCGCAAUGGGCGGAAGCGUGAGGCGGCGACGCCGCGUUGGGGAUGAAGGCCUUCGGGUUGUAAACUCCUUUCGACAGGGACGCGGUACCUGUAUAAGAAGCACCGGCUAACUACGUGCCAGCCGCCGCGGUAAUUC